AGUGGAUCCUGAGUACGACGGAACACGAGAAAUUCCGUCGGAAUCUGGGAGGACCAUCUCCCAAGGCUAAAUACUCUCUAGUGACCGAUAGUGAACCAGUACCGUGAGGGAAAGGUGAAAAGUACCCCGGAAGGGGAGUGAAAGAGAACUUGAAACCGUGUGCUUACAAGUAGUCAGAGCCCGUUAAUGGGUGAUGGCGUGCCUUUUGUAGAAUGAACCGGCGAGUUACGAUUUGAUGCAAGGUUAAGCAGUGAAUGUGGAGCCGUAGCGAAAGCGAGUCUGAAUAGGGCGUUGAGUAUUUGGUCGUAGACCCGAAACCAGGUGAUCUACCCUUGACCAGGUUGAAGUUCAGGUAACACUGAAUGGAGGACCGAACCGACUUACGUUGAAAAGUGAGCGGAUGAGUUGAGGGUAGCGGAGAAAUUCCAAUCGAACCUGGAGAUAGCUGGUUCUCUCCGAAAUAGCUUUAGGGCUAGCCUCAAGUGAUGAUUAUUGGAGGUAGAGCACUGUUUGGACGAGGGGCCCUUCUCGGGUUACCGAAUUCAGACAAACUCCGAAUGCCAAUCAAUUUAACUUGGGAGUCAGAACGCGGGUGAUAAGGUCCGUGUUCGAAAGGGAAACAGCCCAGACCACCAGCUAAGGUCCCAAAAUAUAUGUUAAGUGGAAAAGGAUGUGGCGUUGCCCAGACAACUAGUAUGUUGGCUUAGAAGCAGCCAUCAUUUAAAGAGUGCGUAAUAGCUCACUAGUCGAGUGA
rnacentral:rRNA from 1 species